CUCAAAGGCAAAUGAAUUAGCACUCUAUAGAAAAGGUGAAUUGACUUACCUUGUAAGCACACACAAUAAAUAAUUCCAUCUAAUGCUGAAAAUUUUCUCAAGUACCUAAUAAUUCAAAAACUAUAUUUUUAUGAAAAUGUAAUCUAAUAAAUUCUAAGCCUGGAUAUAUUAGGAUCUAGACAAGAGCUAAUAAUUACUUGGCCCAGCAU
rnacentral:lncRNA from 1 species